GAUGAAUGCUGGCGGCGUGCCUAACACAUGCAAGUCGAGCGGCAGCGAGGGGUGCUUGCACCCUGUCGGCGAGCGGCGAACGGCUGAGUAACGCGUAGGAAUUUGCCCCAAAGUGAGGAAUAACUGCCCGAAAGGGUAGCUAAUGCCGCAUAUGGUCUUCGGAUUAAAGGAUUUAUCCGCUUUGGGAGAAGCCUGCGUUGGAUGAGGUUGUUGGUAGGGUAAUGGCCUACCAAGACGACGAUCCAUAGCUGGUCUGAGAGGAUGAGCAGGCAGACUGGAAAUGAGACACGAGACAGACUCAUACGCGACGGAGCAGUGAGGAACCGUCCAAAAUGGGCGAAGGGAUGAGGGGGCAACGCAGCGUGAAGGUUGAAGGCUGUGGGGUUGUAAACUUCUUUUACGAGUGAAGAAUAUGCCGGUAACUCCUGAAUAAGCAACGGCUAACUACGUG
rnacentral:rRNA from 1 species